UGAUCUUCAACCAAUUCUGCGCUUGAAUAUAAUUACCAGGAGUAAGCGCAAUAGCUUGUUUCCAAUACUCGGCAGCUUGAUUGAACCAAGCCUCCGCAAUUUCAGAAUCUCCCUGUCGAACGGCCUGUUCCCCCCGGUCGGAAUAGGUGGUUCAAUUCCUUUCCUUAGAACCGUACUUGAGAGUUUCCCGCCUCAUACGGCUCGGCAAUCAAUUCUUUUGGUGUCCCGGGUUUUUGAAUCUAGUAUAUCGAAUUUGAAUGAGAUUUCUCAUAGAUCGAUCUUUAUCUUUAUUCUUUUUUUUGGGGGGUUAACCAAAAGAGGUUAAUUCCAUGAGCAUGAGUUUCAAACUUGACUUUUUGAUUAAAUUAAUAAUCAGCUUUGCUUUCAUUUUAUCUUUUCUCCCACCGUCAGAAGAAUAACAUAGAAGCAUUUCCACUAUAGUUAGAAUUUUCUGAAAGGUAUCUAUCUCGGUUUCAUAUAAAAAUUGAUAUAGAAUCUUUGAAAAAGCCCUUUCUUCCUAAGAAAAGAAAAGGCUUACUGUCUUUGGGAUCUGAUGCUACACCGCUGCUCAAUACCUUAGGGAUCGACUUUAUUACAUAAGUGGAUUCCUUACUUUUAUCUCAUAUCAUGACAUAAAUAAGCAGUUCUUAUUGGAUCGGCAUCGGGCCCAAAACCUCGCGAAUUGAUCUUUACGGUGCUUCCUCUAUCAAUUAGAUCCUUUAUCCAUAGAAUAAACUAUCUAGGCAUAUCGAUUUCUUCAUAUUUCGACUUCUAUGAAGUUUCUUUCUUUGCUACAGCUGAUAAAAAUCGUUUUUGCACGAUGCAUAUGUAGAAAGCCUAUUUUUUUUUUUUCGAGUAUUUAUUAGUGUAUUUGCUCUUUACCCCCCCCUCCUUUUUUUUUUUCUUUUACUUUUUUUCUUUCUAUAGUAGAGAUAGUCGCACGUAAUGACAGAUCACAGCCAUAUUAUUAAAAGCUUGUGGUAAGAACGGAUUUCGUUCUAGUGCCCGAAAAUAAUAUUCUAAAGCUUUUGUAUGUUCUCCGUUACUUGUGUGGAUAAGGCCUAUGUUAUAGAGUAUAUAGCUUCGAUCGUAAGGAUCAAUUUCUAGUCGCAUAGCUUCAUAAUAAUUCUGUAAAGCUUCCGCAUAAUUGCCUUCAGAUUGAGCUGACAUCCGUUACGGUCGUCAUUCGAUUCAAAGAAUUCUCCGUUUUCAAAACCGUACAUGAGAUGGAAAAUCUCAUACGGCUCCUCCUUAUGUGCAUUAUGAGAAUAAUCCAUGAAAUCAAAAAAGAUUGAAAUAUUCUCAUUAUGAACUAAGUGGGCUAAUGUUUUUACAAGAAAUCUCUAGCCAACCUUCCUGCAAAAGCUUUUUUCUUAAUAUCACGCGUGUUGGUACUAGAUAAACCGGAAACUCCAACAAUUUCUUUGUUCUCAACGCCCCUUAAUUUACAGGAAUUAAUCACUUCAACAGUCUUCGAUGGUUAUACGGGUAUCCACAGUACGAACGAGAUGGAUGUUUGUUAUCCCAACCAUUCUUCUUAGUCCCGAUCCCGCUAAGGAAAGGGGGCAGCUUAUAACAAAGUUUUCGUGUUGCUGAUUCCUAGACGUAGCGCCUCUUCCCCUAUGCCGCCUAUUGGUACUGGUGUAGUAGGGUUGACUUGCAAUACAGAACCCAUAGGUGUAACCUUUCGCUCAAUACUAGAAUCGACAAUUGAAGCAUCUGAGGCUGCAUUAAUCGGGAUACACGACAGAAGGAAUGGUUUUAUCUAUAAACUUCACCUUCAACAAGCGUAGAUUUUUUCAAUAAUCUUUUUUUUUUUUUUUUUCUAUCCCGAAUUGUCUUUCUUUCUUCUAAGACCGAAAGGGGUAAAUAAAAAACUAAUCAAAUCGCACCAUCUCUGUAAUAGGUAAAUGCCUCUUUUUCUCCUACAGUUGUCGGAAUUAUUCGUAAUAAUAUAUUGGCUACAAUCGAAAAGGUCUUAUCAAUAAAAUUUCCGUUUAUCCGCGAUCUAGGCAUAGGUAAAAAUCCAUUCUAUAAUUCGUUUCAUUACCUCUUGUGAGAAAAUGAUCCCACAAACAAAGGAAUUGUACAGUACAAAAUAACAUAAAAGCAGACGUGUUAAAAAAAAUAAAAAAAAAAAUAGACCGAUCCGUUGAUUCGUUCCAACUCAUUGAUUAAAUCAGGUAGAAAUAUCAGAAAAAAAAAAAAAAAGGAGCGCCAUCUUUGCAAACAAGAUAUAUAGCCUUAUUGUUUUUUGUUUUGAACAGUUUUUCACAAACAAAAAAGUUAUCCUUUUCCCCAGACUCAAAGGAAGAAUUUUUUCUUUGCUGAAAGGGUUUCUAUUUUUCUAGUUAGAACGGAUUCGAUUGUCCGUACCCAUCUACCAAUCGAAUUUGAACAACUCGCUAUUCACGCGGGUUCUCGGUCAUAAUCAUUGUGUAGGAGAGAUGGCCGAGUGGUUCAAGGCGUAGCAUUGGAACUGCUAUGUAGACUUUUGUUU
rnacentral:lncRNA from 1 species